rnacentral:rRNA from 1 species
CUCGUCUCAAAUCAGAUAGAGCUACCCGCUGAACUUAAGCAUAUCAAUAAGCGGAGGA